rnacentral:rRNA from 1 species
UACGUAGGUGGCAAGCGUUGUCCGGAUUUAUUGGGCGUAAAGAGCUCGUAGGCGGCUUAGUAAGUCGGGUGUGAAACCUCCAGGCUCAACCUGGAGACGCCACCCGAUACUGCUGUGGCUAGAGUCCGGUAGGGGAGCGUGGAAUUCCUGGUGUAGCGGUGAAAUGCGCAGAUAUCAGGAGGAACACCAGCGGCGAAGGCGGCGCUCUGGGCCGGUACUGACGCUGAGGAGCGAAAGCGUGGGGAGCAAACAGG